AUUGAACGCUGGCGGCAGGCUUAACACAUGCAAGUCGAGCGGGGUGAUGGUGCUUGCACUAUCACUUAGCGGCGGACGGGUGAGUAAUGCUUAGGAAUCUGCCUAUUAGUGGGGGACAACAUCUCGAAAGGGAUGCUAAUACCGCAUACGUCCUACGGGAGAAAGCAGGGGAUCACUUGUGACCUUGCGCUAAUAGAUGAGCCUAAGUCGGAUUAGCUAGUUGGUGGGGUAAAGGCCUACCAAGGCGACGAUCUGUAGCGGGUCUGAGAGGAUGCUCCGCCACACUGGGACUGAGACACGGCCCAGACUCCUACGGGAGGCAGCAGUGGGGAAUAUUGGACAAUGGGGGGAACCCUGAUCCAGCCAUGCCGCGUGUGUGAAGAAGGCCCUAUGGUUGUAAAGCACUUUAAGCGAGGAGGAGGCUCUUUUGGUUAAUACCCAGAAUGAGUGGACGUUACUCGCAGAAUAAGCACCGGCUAACUCUGUGCCAGCCGCCGCCGUAA
rnacentral:rRNA from 1 species